rnacentral:rRNA from 1 species
UACGAAGGUGGCAAGCGUUGUUCGGAUUUACUGGGCGUACAGGGAGCGUAGGCGGUUGGAUAAGCCCUCCGUGAAAUCUCCAGGCUUAACCUGGAAAGUGCAGAGGGGACUGUUCAGCUAGAGGAUGGGAGAGGAGCGCGGAAUUCCCGGUGUAGCGGUGAAAUGCGUAGAGAUCGGGAGGAAGGCCGGUGGCGAAGGCGGCCAUCUGGACCAGCACUGACGCUGAGGCACGACAGCGUGGGGAGCAAACAGG